UUUAAAAUGCACAAGGCCUGGCCAUCUGCAUUCUCUUUCACCUAAAAGAAGACAAAAAAGACACAAAAUGACAAAAGUCACAGCAUGGCAUGUACUCCCAACUUUAGCUCAAAUCCAGUGAUAAAGUAGAGAACAAGGAAUACAAGAUGAAAGCAUGUGAUAGCUCUAUUGUGA
rnacentral:lncRNA from 1 species